UUACUGACGCUAAAGCUCGAAAGUGCGGGUAUCGAACAGGAUUAGAUACCCUGGUAGUCCGCACGGUAAACGAUGGAUGCCCGCUGUUCGCGAUAUAUUGUGAGCGGCCAAGAGAAAUCGUUAAGCAUCCCACCUGGGGAGUACGCCGGCAACGGUGAAACUCAAAGGAAUUGACGGGGGCCCGCACAAGCGGAGGAACAUGUGGUUUAAUUCGAUGAUACGCGAGGAACCUUACCCGGGCUUGAACUGCCGGCGAACGAUACAGAGAUGUUGAGGCCCUUCGGGGCGCCGGUGGAGGUGCUGCAUGGUUGUCGUCAGCUCGUGCCGUGAGGUGUCGGCUUAAGUGCCAUAACGAGCGCAACCCUUUUCGUCAGUUGCCAUCAGGUGAUGCUGGGCACUCUGGCGACACUGCCACCGUAAGGUGUGAGGAAGGUGGGGAUGACGUCAAAUCAGCACGGCCCUUACGUCCGGGGCUACACACGUGUUACAAUGGGGCAUACAGAAGGCCGGUGCAUGGCAAUGUGCAUCCAAUCUUAAAAGUGCUCCUCAGUUCGGAUUGGGGUCUGCAACCCGACCCCAUGAAGCUGGAUUCGCUAGUAAU
rnacentral:rRNA from 1 species